CCCGCUGAACUUAAGCAUAUCAAUAAGCGGAGGAAAAGAAACUAACAAGGAUUCCCCUAGUAACUGCGAGUGAAGCGGGAAGAGCUCAAAUUUGAAAUCUGGCAGUUGUUGACUGUCCGAGUUGUAAUCUAGAGAAGUGUUACCAGUGCAGGACCGUGUACAAGUCUCCUGGAAUGGGGCAUCAUAGAGGGUGAGAAUCCCGUCUUUGGCACGGACUACCUGUACAUCAUGGUGCGCUCUCAAAGAGUCGAGUUGUUUGGGAAUGCAGCUCAAAAUGGGUGGUAAAUGCCAUCUAAAGCUAAAUAUUGGCGAGAGACCGAUAGCGAACAAGUACCGUGAGGGAAAGAUGAAAAGAACUUUGAAAAGAGAGUUAAACAGUGCGUGAAAUUGUUGAAAGGGAAACGUUUGACACCAGUUAUGCGGGUGGAAAAUCAGUCUUUUGCAAUGGGGAGUUGUGGGCGUUCAGACCGCAAGGCUGGCGUUUGCUUCAUCUUUGUUGUAAGUGAUGCACUUUUUCAUUUGCAGGUCAACAUCAGUUUGCUUUGCUGGACAAAACCCCAAGGGAAGGUGGCAGCUUAGGCUGUGUUAUAGCCCUGGGGCGAUACAGUGGAGUGGACUGAGGUUUCGCAGUGUGUGCUCUCGGGCAAGGCUGACUGGGUGCUAUGGGAUCGUUCGGCGUACAAUGCAUGCAUUUUGCGUCGUGUCUUUUUCAUACUCGCUCAACUCGGCUCUUCCACGCUUAGGAUGUUGACUUAAUGGUUUUAAACGACCCGUCUUGAAACACGG
rnacentral:rRNA from 1 species